rnacentral:lncRNA from 1 species
CCAAUAUACUUAUCACAGUGUGUCCCUGUGGACACUCACACAGAUUGGAUUCAGGGCAGAGUCACUGGAACCACCAUGAAGAGGCACAGGUGACAGAGAUGAAGGUUUGUACAGGAUCUCUGAGGAGUGAACAGGGAGACUUGUCCCAUCGCCUGCCUUUCACGCCUGCGCUGUCCUUGGGAAAGGAAGCAGGCACCACCUGAUUUACCCAGGAGAACUGAGAGGGACCUUGCCCACAAGAGCACGGUUUUCAGAAAACCAAACAUGGAAAUGUGAAGACGCUACCCUGUCUGUGGGCCUCCUGCCGGGCUGUGGGAACAGGAGAGCUGUGAACCCAGGGAAGCAAUAUAAGACUGUAUUGAACCAUCAGUGUGCCUAAAUAAACCCUCACUUGUUGGAUGACCAAACAGGACGAUGGUACCAAUGGUAAGCCAGCAUUUACUCAGCCCUGCUCUGCUCAGAACCAGGAGAAGACGAAUUCCCUGCUGGUGGAUCAGUAAUUUUGCUGGUAAUUUCAUGAAGGACCCCUACGACAUGGAUAGCGUCUAUAAUGGUUACGGUCUGCUGCAUAUUUACUGCCUUGAACUGGAACUCCACCAGCGCCUGUAACAUCUGCUGCCUCUGCAACCUUUUCUCCUUCAACAUCAUCAAACCCUACAGUCUCUCCAUCUCCUUUCUACACUGUGAAGGUACUUCCUGGGGUUAUUCUUCUUUAUGGCAGUCUGGUGUACAAAUAUGUCUUCCUUGGCUUACCAUCUCUACCAUCACCCGGUUUGGUCAUCCAACAAGAUGAAAUGAACAUAAAAUUCCAGCAAUAAGAAAUGAACAAAGAUUGGAGCUGAAGACCUUAAGCGCUUGCUUUUUGCCCAUUGACCAGAUACACUAGAAC